CCUACGGGCGGCAGCAGUGGGGAAUAUUGGACAAUGGGCGAAAGCCUGAUCCAGCCAUGCCGCGUGUGUGAAGAAGGCCUUCGGGUUGUAAAGCACUUUCAGUGGGGAAGAAAGCCUUGGGGCUAAUACCCUCGAGGAAGGACAUCACCCACAGAAGAAGCACCGGCUAACUCCGUGCCAGCAGCCGCGGUAAUACGGAGGGUGCGAGCGUUAAUCGGAAUUACUGGGCGUAAAGCGCGCGUAGGCGGUCUGAUAAGCCGGUUGUGAAAGCCCCGGGCUCAACCUGGGAACGGCAUCCGGAACUGGCAGGCUAGAGUGCAGGAGAGGAAGGUAGAAUUCCCGGUGUAGCGGUGAAAUGCGUAGAGAUCGGGAGGAAUACCAGUGGCGAAGGCGACCUUCUGGACUGACACUGACGCUGAGGUGCGAAAGCGUGGGUAGCAAACAGGAUUAGAUACCCUUGUAGUC
rnacentral:rRNA from 1 species